rnacentral:lncRNA from 10 species
AUUCUGCUGGCCUCUUAUGGUGCACUGUGGGAAGACAUGUGGGGUUUGAAUAUAUUAUGUGGCAGGGCAGUCUGAAGACACAGAGGGGCCACAGUGAGGUUUGAGGCAUGUGUCCUCAUGACUGGAAGGACCCAGGGCAGGCCAGAUGCCCUAGGAUGCAAGAUGGAAGAGGGUAGGUGCCAGGAAGAACAGCUGCAGUAUGUCACACACAGUCUCGACUGAAGCUGCAGAAGUGAGAGAUCAGCAUUGCAUUUUCCAGUGUGAAGUUGGAAUUCCUUCUCUACAUUAUUCCUAAAUCAUCCCUAGUGUAUCGUGUAAUUCAGAUGUGUAUCAGGCAAUCCUUUGAGUAAAUGAGAACAGGAAAGGGCAGAGGAAAAGUAGUGUAGGUCAUUGAGGGAGGGUACAAAGUUGUUCUCCACACAUUCAGAGACUCAGCCUCUUGCCAUCCUUUGAUGCCACCAUCUUCAACACGUGACCUCCAAGUUUUCUCUGGAACAGGAAGAGCGAACAGAAGAUUAAAUGUGAGAGAUUUUAUGGCCAAGGGGUGGCACAUCAUCACUUCUGUCCACUUUCCCUUGUUCAGAACUCAACCACAAGAUGCCAAGCUAUUUGCUGAGGAUCUGGACAUUUAGCUGUGUGUCCAGUGAGGAAGAAAACUGGGUUUGGUGAACACAUACCAUUGUCUCUGCCAUGGAAGUGAUAAUUUACACUCCAGCUGGUGAUCGAUCAUCUCAGAAUGGUGCAUGAGGUGAGCUGACAACGGCAGCCAGGGGAAGGAACGCGAGGGCCCAGGAUGGAAAUGAGAGCUUCAAAUGUGAGAACACAUUCCAGCUGCAGGAUCAGAGGACUUUUCCUACAGCCCAUAAGUGCCUGCAGCUCUAUCGGAUUUGCAAAUCUACAAAAGAGAGCACAUCCUAUUGUUCCCGGUUUUGAGUUUUUUUAAUAGUAUGUCUUGUAAAAUGCUGGUUGCUGGUGGACAGGGGUGUUUUACAGAUAGGUGUGACUCAGGAGGGGAAAUGGGUGGGCAGAGACAGCCACAAGGAAUUCCACACAUGAAGGAAAUGCUCCCACUUGUGUUUUCUAUUUGUGUUUUAAAUUUGGGGAGCGACUCACAGGCACUCAGCAAAAGUAACUAAUUAUAUUAACCUUAUCAGUAGUGAGGUUUCCUGGUCUCUCAUCAGACACUCAGCUCACUGGCUGGUAUUUAAUUGGGAGCCUGGUGGCCAGUGAAAACAGUGUGGGAUGAGUCACACUUUAACAAGUUUUUAUAGUACAGCAACCUUGCUGUAUAAUAGCCAGACAUUAUUAAAAUUCAGAUAUGGUACACUGACUUGUUUGUUUUCCUUAUUCACAUGAAACAGAUGCUCAGGACUCAUUUUACUUACACACAGUAAAUGAGGGUCAGCUGUGUUGAGGGAAGUGAGUACUUUGUUCUGGAAGGAUAGAUGUUGUAGCAAUUGUCUUGCUCUGAUUGUAUUUGAAAAGAAUGAAUGUUGUUAGUACAAUUUGGUAUUCUUCCAAUGCCUAGUUGGAGUUCAAGGGAUAUAAAACUGGGCGCUUGAGGAGUGGGAUGGAAAAGGAUGGAGAAGGAAGGUCAAAUAUGGCUUUGAAGGGGAUCAGCAGAAGCCAGAGGCCGCAGUGGUGAACACUCCUUGUGAAUGGCCCUUUGCACCCACGGCUUGGUGAACCCAGCAUGGACCGUGGAGAGAGGACCUGCCUAAAAACCAGAGACGGGGUUUGCCUCUCCGCAUCACCACUGGCUUGCUGCAUCAAGAAUCUGCCUUUCAGCUUCUUCACCUGAAACAAGGUGAUUGGGAUAGCUGGUUUUAUUUAUUUAUUUUUGAGGCCAUUCUAGCACUUUGUAAAGUCCAAGGGGGUGUGGUAUUGUAAUUCUUGGAAUAAUACAAUGAACAUCAGAUGCUUUGAAGUUUUCCGUUCGGUGGAUUCUGGGAUUCUUUUCUGAAUGAGUGAUUACUAGCCAACAGGAAUCUCAUGGUUCAACCUCAAACUCAAAAGUUAUUUCGGGGAUGGAAAAUGGUAAGAUUGGGGAAAAUCCUUCCACCUUCACCCCUGUGAAUUAGGAGUCUUGUUAAUUAGUAUACAUGAUUAAAUAUUGAGAUUUAUAGGCAUCAACUUGUGUGACCUGUGACAGUUGGGUAUCAAAACA